CCACCCCACGACAACGUCACCACCGCGAUAGUAGCCUUAGCAACAUGCUGGGAUAUGACGCCCGCACCGUCAACGUCUCCUCACGUAGCUCCACCUCACAACAACGUCACCACGGUGAUAGUAGCCUUAGCGACAAGCUGGGAUAUGACGCCCGCGACAUCAACGUCUCCUCACGUAGCUCCACCUCACAACAACGUCACCACGGUGAUAGUAGCCUUAGCGACAAGCUGGGAUAUGACGCCUGCGACAUCAACGUCUCCUCACGUAGCUCCACCUCACAACACUGUCGCCGCGGCGAUAGUGGUAUUAGUAUUGUUAGCAUCGUCCGCUACAUACAUUAGCAUUGUUUUAUUAUUAUUAGCGGGGGUGGUAUUGGUAGUGGUGGGGUUGGUAGCAGUAGUAAUAUCAUUAUUAGUAGUAGAAGCAUUGUAGUAGUGGUAGUAGAAGUAGUAAUAUUCAUAUAAAUAGUGCUAGUAGUGAAACCCAUUUCAAGCUCAAGUACCUCAUUUCUCGGUUCCUUGUCUUCACAGCAGAGGCCUACUUAAUCCCACACCGACUCGCCUUCUAGGCCAUUUAAAUUGAUCAGCCGAAGGUAAAAACGGCCAGCAGGUGGCCAGAUAAAAAAGACUCCAUGGCGAAAGAAUCAGGCUUCACAACUCGCUAGUAGAACAGUGGUAGCCGUCGCCGUAGCAGCAGUGUUCAUAGAGUAAACAAUGGCAUAAUCACAAACGCACGCCAAAUACACAAUAGUAAUCAGGGCUAUAAAACACUGUCCCACAUUAUGAUGGUUCUUGCAUUAUUAGGAUGUUUGUAAGCAGCAGGGAGCAGUAGCAUUGCAGCCAGUGUGAUGUUGACUGCAUCAGGGACAGGGGUGGGGCUAGCUGCUGCUGCUGUCACACUAUCCUCUCCUUUCAUGUCUGCAGUGGCUAGGGGCUGUUGUUAGACAGCUGAGGUGUGGGGGGGGGGAUCAAAAUGAAACAUUAACAACCCACAUCUCUUCUGGUUGUUGUUAGGACCACCGUAUUACUUAUUAGAAUGAUGGCAUGUUACACGUCGACAACACACCGGUAGUGGAGCAGGGGGAGCAGGGGGAGGAUGGGGGGGGUCAGAGUGUACACCGCAUGGGGAGGGUCACGCCCGCCUUCUAAGGGAGGGGGGGUAGUGUUUCCGAUGGGACGUGGGGUAAGAGGGUCAACCUGUUAAUCAUAAGCGAUAGGUCGUGGCCUCCUCUGAGGGAUCGUGUUGCAGCUGUGCUUUGGGGGUCAAAGUGUGAAUCUUAAAGGGGCACCCAGCGCCUCUCUCGGCUGUUUCCUAAUACAAAAGAGUACUUCUUCACACGCGUGGAGUGCAGAGAUGACGGCCCGGUCGACAUCGGCGUUUGCAGGGAAGUCUGAGCAUUUUCGUCAUUAUUUUAGAAGUUUCGGCUUCAGACUUUUCUGAGGAUUUGUUCUGUGGAAACAGAGUGGAUUUUGCAGAGAGUGAUUUUCCACCCAACAAGUGUGUGUGUAGAAAUAUUAGAAGAUAGCUAGCGUGGCGGUUCCCCUUUAAGAAAUGGGUCAUUGGCUUCUUCUGAGGGAUAGAUGGUGCUUCAGCUGGGGGUUGGAGGGUAAGACGGGAACAUAACUUUUCGAGGAGCCACAGAGGAGAGCACAAAGACUUUUUGUUGAAAAGUUAGGAUUGUGAGUCAUAUAAGGUAAAUCCUGAUGUGUCAGGACGUACUAGUUCAGAACAGCAGUGACAGAGGUGAAAUACACUGAAGCCGAUGGGGUUGAGUCUGAAUAGUUCAUAGGAAGGUUGUCAGGCAGAGUCUGAAUAGUUCAUGUUAAGGUUGUCAGGUAGAGUCUGAAUAGUUCAUGUUAAGGUUGUCAGGUAGAGUCUGAAUAGGCCAUGUGAAAGAUGCCAAAGUCAAACACUGAGAUCAAUUAUGGAUACAGAAAUCAUUGCUGUGUCUGUCAUGCAUUUCGUAACCGAUUUUCAGCGGGGAAAGAGGUCCUCAUCAGUUAUAUCAUUGGACUUUCCAAACACACACACACACACACACACACACACACACACACACACACACACACACACACACACACACACACACACACACGGACAUAAGUGUGUUUUGAGCGUAAUUAAAACCUGGAGAUUGGGUGUAAGAAGGUUCUGCUGUGGGUAAAGCAGGGUUAGAAAGGCAUUGUGGUACUACCACAAUGCGGCCCUGGGGGCCGUCUGGUUGAGGACGGUCACGGGGGUCCAUUAUUGACAGUGAGGAGAAUCG